rnacentral:tRNA from 1 species
UCCCUGGUGGUUCAAUGAGUUAAGGACCCAGCAUUGUCACUGCUGUGACAUGGGUUCUAUCCCUGACUUGAGAA